rnacentral:rRNA from 1 species
UACGAAGGGGGCUAGCGUUGUUCGGAUUCACUGGGCGUAAAGCGCACGUAGGCGGAUCUUUAAGUCAGAGGUGAAAUCCCAAGGCUCAACCUUGGAACUGCCUUUGAUACUGGGGAUCUUGAGUCCGGGAGAGGUGAGUGGAACUGCGAGUGUAGAGGUGAAAUUCGUAGAUAUUCGCAAGAACACCAGUGGCGAAGGCGGCUCACUGGCCCGGUACUGACGCUGAGGUGCGAAAGCGUGGGGAGCAAACAGG